GUUGAGUUUUAAAAAUUUGAAUGCUAUAUACAAAUGUAUAGCUCAGAUAUAGACAUAAGAUAGGCAAAUACUUUUUGGAUCAAUUAUAAAUAUACAAAGUAGAAAACGGGAAUUUUGUGUAACACAACUGUUCAGUUAAGGACUCUGGUGAAAGCAGUUCAUCUAGGCACAUGGCAAAAUGUCAAAACACUGACACUGUUGCAAAUGAUGUUCAAGAACCUGGUAGAGCGACAGAUCACACCCCCUCGAAUUUCAUGAUUGACGUCAUAAGUGAUGCUACACGUACACCAGAUAUGUGUGUAGUUGACUUUAGUGAUGAUAUUUCCGAUAUUGAAAUAACACCAGGAUCAAAGCCUCUUUCUGACUCCGAUGUUCCUCAAAGACCCGAAAAAGUAAAAAAGAAAAAACACACGAAAGGAGAACAUUCAAAGAAACUGAAAUAAACAAGUGCAAAUACGUUAUAAUAUUAGUAUUUAAAACUUGUGAGAAGAUGUUUUGAAAGAAAAGCAGCGCAUCAAAGCAAAACUAUUAGCCAUCCGAGUCUGUUGAGUCUGUUAGUUUAGAUUAAACAUAUUUAUUCCCAAACAGUAAACAUAUACAUUGAUACAUAGUCAUACAGAGAAUAUUAUAACUUAGGAAAGGAUAAUAAUGGAAGACAAGUCUUAUAGAAGUCUUCUCCUUCGAGGACAAUUAACUUGUAGACAUACUAUAAGUUUAUAGCUAAAAUGGGACUUGAAAGAAAAAAUAUUGUUGUCAUUAUGAUAUCUGUAACAGUUAUCUGAAAACAAAUGUACAAAGAUUGUCAGUUCAGUAUUUAUUGUUAAAGAAAAAUAAAGACGAAAAAGGGUUAUUAGAAGAAGAUAGAGUUGUUAUAGGAUAAAGUAAUAAUUAAAUGAUAUCUAUUGCGUAAUAGUCUUACUAUAAAGAUAGAGAUAGAAGUGUUGAAGUUUGUCUUAAAGAAAGGGGUCAUUUGACUUAUAAGAAUCUCUUGCUGUCCGAUAUGAAGGACUGUACGCAGAAGAAUAUAGUCAUGUUAUCCUGAUCAGAAAGGGGUGGGUUACCAAAAAAGAACAGUAUCCAAGUCAAUAUCAAAAUUCCGCAGAUUAUUAAGAAAAUCGUUCCGGCAAUCAUUGUAAAGUGAACAUUCAAAUAAAAAGUGAUAAUUAGUUUCAGUUUUGCCACAUUGGCAUUAUUGAGUCUGUUCAUGAGAGGUACUGUACAGCUUCUCCUUAGCAUAAGAUAUUAAACGUACCUCUCCAAAAGGACAACAAAAUUAAAUAUAACAACUCUGAGUCUAAGUUGGAAAUUAAUCAACUCUUGUCAACCACUUAAUCCUUCCUAUGGGUCAUUCAUUAUACUAAACAAGCAUGUUAUUAGGCCUAAAAAAGAAAUGCUUUGUUUCCGGUAACAUGCUAAAAGAAAUUACGGUAAGUAGGUCGGAAAAUGUUUUAUUUUUGGAUUUUUUUAUUAAGUGAGACUUUUCAGAAAUUAUUUUUGUGUCAAAAAAUGAAUGCAAACAAGGGGGAUAUGCAUUUUGAGCAUCAGUAAAUUAAUUUCUAACAUCACUGAGCAUGUUUAAAGCAUAAAAAUUGCAACAUUUUGUGAAAAAAAAAAAAAAUUCUCCAAGGCACAUUUAGGGUCGGGCCAGAAAUUUAGGGUAAGUUGGGAUACUGAAAACAAACAAUUUUUUACGCCUUAUUUUUCAUAUUGAACAAUGACACUUCUUUAAAAAUUACAAUUCUUUUCUUGUAACACAAGAAAUUUUUAUGCUAACUUAUGAAAAACUGUGUUUUAUCAAUGAGAUAUAAUCCAUAUCACUCACUGUAUAUCACUCACUGUAAAUGCCGAUCUACUUGUACAUUAUGUAUGAAUUUUAAGUUAUUUGCUUAAAACAGGAUGAAAAUUGUAGUCGCACUUUGUUCUUUAUAGUUUGUUUCUCGAUUCAAAUAAUUUUAC